rnacentral:rRNA from 1 species
UACGGAGGGUGCAAACGUUGCUCGGAAUCAUUGGGCGUAAAGCGCACGUAGGCGGCCAGUCAAGUCGGGUGUGAAAUCCCUCGGCUCAACCGAGGAAGUGCAUUCGAUACUAGCAGGCUUGAGUAUGGAAGAGGGUCGCGGAAUUCCCGGUGUAGAGGUGAAAUUCGUAGAUAUCGGGAGGAACACCAGUGGCGAAGGCGGCGACCUGGGCCAAUACUGACGCUGAGGUGCGAAAGCGUGGGGAGCAAACAGG